GGGCUUAUAUUUGUAUUUUUGCUCGGACAUUUAUGUACAAUUUGAACGUCAUAGAUGGUUGCAGCAUAAAUAGAAUUAUUAGCCC
rfam:Drosophila pseudoobscura pseudoobscura strain MV2-25 chromosome XL unlocalized genomic scaffold ChXL_group1e, whole genome shotgun sequence.